rnacentral:rRNA from 1 species
UACAGAGGGGGCAAGCGUUGUUCGGAAUUACUGGGCGUAAAGCGCACGUAGGCGGAUUUGUAAGUCAGGGGUGAAAUCCCGGGGCUCAACCUCGGAACUGCCUUUGAUACUGCAAAUCUCGAGUCCGGAAGAGGUGAGUGGAAUUCCUAGUGUAGAGGUGAAAUUCGUAGAUAUUAGGAAGAACACCAGUGGCGAAGGCGGCUCACUGGUCCGGUACUGACGCUGAGGAGCGAAAGCCAGGGGAGCAAACGGG